CUUGAGCAUGUAACUUAUAUGAUGUUGUAUUUCAAUUACAUCUAAGUUAAGCUGGAAAAAUAUCAACAAUGGAAGCAACUUAAUAGUUAGAGAAGACUAAAGAAACAUGACGUGGAAACUCCUUGGUUGGACAGAGAAAAAGUUUGAAUUCUAAAAAUAAAAGGUUGGUGAAAGUAAAGUGAGAAGAUUUGGACUAGAAAAAACAAAUUAUUUUAGAGUUGUCCAGAGUGACUUGAGAGAAAAUAUAAAGGAUAAAAUGAAAAGCCAGAUGAAGAGAUAUAUCUAGCAAGACCUGGAAGAGUCCCAAGUGAACACAGGAGCUUCUGUUCCAGAGGAGAUUGGGGUGUGCCAACCUUCCAGCCCAGAGAUGCAUUCUUGUUCAGUCUCAGUAAGGUCUUCAAACUCCUUCAGUAGGGUUUUUAUGAA